GCUUUUGGGGAGCGAGGCCAAUUAGAGUGUGAACAGAGGAACCCAGCGGCCAAUGGGCAGCUCCUUUGGGGGCGGGAGCAGAGAGACAAGGAAAUGCUGUCACCGCCGUUAAACACGCACGUGGAGGGAAGACCUGGGUUUAAGUCCUGUCUCCAUCAAGCUCAAGAUAUGGGACCUCAUGGAAGGGAGGGGAGGCAAUGCUGAGGAUGUGCACCUGAGCAGGUGCCCCAAUUCUUCACCUGUAAGCAUCCCGGUUUGGCAGAGAGCAGUGGCUCAGCCUGGCAUGUGGCAUACACCUGUAUUCCUGGCUACUUGGAGGCUGAGGUGGGAGGAUCGCUUGAGCCCAAGGAAAUUGAGACUGUAGUGACUGCAUCACUACACUCCAUCCCGGACAACAGAGUAAGACCCUGUCUCAAAAAAAAAAAACCACCCUAAAACAAACAAACAUUCCAGAUGAAUCUAGCCUAAAUAUUCCUGCUAUAAAGCUGGGCUGCUCUUCCUGUU